UACGGAGGGUGCAAGCGUUGUUCGGAAUUACUGGGCGUAAAGCGCACGUAGGCGGGUUUGCAAGUCGAUUGUGAAAGCCCCGGGCUCAAUCCGGGAAUGGCAGUCGAAACUGCAAGUCUUGAAUACCUGAGAGGGUGACGGAAUUCCUGGUGUAGAAGUGAAAUUCGUAGAUAUCAGGAGGAACACCGGAGGCGAAGGCGGUUGCCUGGCAGUGUAUUGACGCUGAGGUGCGAAAGCGUGGGGAGCAAACAGG
rnacentral:rRNA from 1 species